rnacentral:rRNA from 1 species
AUGCCGAACUAGAGGGUUUGUAAAAGGCAUGUGUAUCACACCAUGAUGUAGAUAUUCUCGUUGAAGCUAGCUUACACUUCUUCAUAUGUUAGUGGCCCAGUUCAGUUGUAUGGAUACGUGGCUGUCAGAGAUCUCUUGAAUCCCAUGCGAAAUUACGUCUUCAACCGUACAAAAAAUGAUCCUUUGGUGGUCGAGCAUGAAGGCUUUAUACAAAUGUUUGGCCCCAAGAGAGGCAUCAGAAUGCAAGCUCCGGUGCUGAUAGAGUUCGGUCUGAAGAUUAAGACAGGAGGAGGAGAAGAAGGUGAUGAUCAACAGAUUGAUGGUGUUGCCAUAUUCGACGACAGAAUCUCAGGACAUGCUAGAGUAAACACGCAACGAAUGGAUGGUGAUGGUGGCUCGGUGGACAUAAAGUUUGCAGUUCUGGAACGUGCCUCGUAGGCCAUUGUACAGGUUGGGAUAUCAGAAAUUGAGAAGGGCAGUUGCUUUAGCUUGUGUUUGGCAGGGUCUUACACUAGCUCAUCUUAUGUUGCACGUGGCAAAAUCCAGCUGUUUGAUGGGGUUAUCGCUGCCGAGGCAUCCGAGCUAAGCAGAGCCAUGGUUGCUGUGGCACAAGAUGCUAAGCUGGUUGUAAAACUGAAGGUUAGUCAGAAGGGUGGGUUGGACAUCCAUCGAUGCACCAUCUUCCUGGUUGAAAAGCAUGGAAGUCGGUCCUUCAUUUUAAAUCUUGGUGUGGCCAGUGUGGAGGUGAUGGUAACUUGGUCAACAAUGGAUAUUCCCAAAAGUCUUCUUGGGCCUAAUUGCUUCACGCAUGAGUUCAUGGCAUCUCAGGGCGUUGAUUAUGUCGAUGAAUAA